rnacentral:lncRNA from 1 species
CCAAGCUCAGGGAACUGGGACGGCGAUUCUUCAUAAAUACUUCCUGCUGAAUAUAGGCACUGAGAUAUCUUGAAGGGGGAUAGAGAAAACGAGGGAAUUGGUUGGCCUUAAGAAUGCCAUACCAAUAAUUGUUUUUUUUUUAUAAAUAUAUAAAAUCAAUUUAUUUGUUUACUUCAAAAACAUGAUUUAGAAAUCUUAGUUAUCAAAUUCUUUUUUAUUGUUAAUUUUUAUUAGGUAAUUUCUUCAUUUACAUUUCAAAUGCUAUCCCCUUUCCUAGUUUCCUCUCCAAAAGUUCCCUAUACCCUCCCUGUGCCCUGCUCCCCAACCCACCCACUCCUGCUUCCUUGCCCUGGCAUUGCCCUGUACUGGGGCAUAUAAUCUUUGCAAGACCAAGGGCCUCUCCUCCCAUUGAUGGCUGACUAGGCCAUCCUCUGCUACAUAUGCAACUAGUGACAUAAGGUCUGGGGGGGUACUGGUUAGUUCAUAUUGUUGUUUCUUUUAUAGGGUUGCAGACUCCUUUAGCUCCUUGAGUACUUUCUCUAGCUCAUUCAUUGGGGGCCCUAUGUUCCAUCCAAUAAAUGACUGUGAGCAUCCAGUUCUGUAUUUGACAGGCACUGACAUAGCCUCACAAGAGAUAGCAAAAUCUUACUGGCAUAUGCAAUAGUGUCUGAGUUGGUUGGUUGUUUAUGGGAUGGAUCCCCAGGUGGGGCAGUAUCUGGAUGAUCCUUCCUUCCAUCUCAGCUCCAAAGUUUGUCUCUGUUACUCCUCCCAUGGGUAUUUUGUUCCCCCUUCUAAGAAGGAAUGAAGUAUCUACACUUUGGUCCUCCUUCUUCUUGUGUUUUGCAAAUUGUAUCUUGGGUAUUCUAAGUUUCUAGACUAAUAUCCACCUAUCAGUGAGUGCAUAUCAUGUGUUCUUUUGUGAUUGGAUUACCUCACUAAGGAUGAUCUCCUCUAGAUCCAUCGAUUUGUCUAAGAAUUUCAUAAACUCAUUGUUUUUAAUAUCUGAGUAGUACUCCAUUGUGUAAAUGUACCACAUUUUCUGUAUCCAUUCUUCUGUUGAGAGAUACCUGGGUUCUUUCCAGCUUCUGGCUAUUAUAAAUAAGGCUGCUAUGAACAUAGUGGAGCAAGUGUCCUUUUUACCAGUUGGUACAUUUUCUGGGUAUAUGCCCAGGAGAGGUAUUGCUGGAUCUUCCAGUAGUACUAUGUCCAAUUUUCAGAAAAACUGCCAGACUGAUUUCCUGAGUAAGUGUACCAGUUGCAAUCCUACCAGCAAUGGAGGAGUGUUCCCCUUUCUCCACAUCCUUACCAGCAUCUGCUGACACCUGAAUUUUUGAUCUUUGCCAUUCUGAUUCGUGUGAGGUUGAAUCUCAGGGUUGUUUUGAUUUGCAUUACCCUGAUGAUUAAGGAAGGAUGUUGAACAUUUUUUCAGGUGCUUCUCAGCCAUUCAGUAUUCCUCAGUUGAGAAUUCUAUGUUUAGCUCUGUACAUCAUUUUUUAAUAGGGUUAUUUGAUUUUCAUGAUUCAGGCUGUAUAUUGCUUUUAUUAUGCUUAGGUAUGGGCCUUGAAUUCCUGAUGUUUGCAAGACUUUUAUCAUGAAUGGGUGUUGGAUUUUGUCAAAUGCUUUCUCAGCAUCUAAGGAGAUGAUCAUGUGUUUUUGGUCUUUGAGUUUGUUUAUAUAGUGGAUUAUGUUGGUGGAUUUCCAUAUAUUAAACCAUCCCUGCAUCCCUGGGAUGAAGCCUACUUGAUCAUGAUGGAUGAUCAUUUUGAUGUGUUCUUGGAUUCGGUUUGGGAGAAUUCUAUUGAUUAUUUUUGCAUCGAUAUUCAUAAGGUAAAUUGGUCUGAAGUUCUUUUUCUUUGUUGGGUCUUUAUGUGGUUAAGGUAUCAGAGUAAUUGUGGCUUCAUAGAAUGCAAUGGGUAGAGUACCUUCUGCUUCUACUUUGUGGAAUUGUUUGAGGAGAAUUGGAAUUAGGUCUUCAUUGAAGGUCUGAUAGGACUCUGCACUAAACCCAUCUGGUCCUGGGCUUUUUUUUUUUUUUUUUUUGGUUGGGAGACAAUGAGUGCGUCUAUUUCUUUAGGGGAAAUGGGACUGUAUAGAUUGUUAAUCUGAUCCUGAUUUAACUUUGGUACCUGGUAUCUGUCUAGAAAACUGUCCAUUUGAUCCAUGCUUUCCAGUUUUGUUGAGUAUAACAUUUUGUAGUAGGAUUUGAUGAUAUUUUAGAUUUCCUCAGUUUCUGUUGUUAUAUCUCCCUUUUUAUUUCUGAUUUUGUUAAUUUGGAUACUUUCCCAGUGCCCCCUAGUUAGUCUUUUAUCUUGUUGAUUUUCUCAAAAAACAAAACAAAACAAAACAAACAACAACAACAACCCCCACCCCCAAACAGCUCCUGGUUUGGUUGACUCUUUGUAUAGUUGUUUUUGUCUCCACUUGGUUGAUUUCAAACCUGUGUUUGAUUAUUUCCUGCCAUCUACUCCUCUUGGAUGAAUUUGCUUCCUUUUUUUUUUUCUAGAGCUUUUAGGUGUGCUGCCAAACUUUUAGUGUAUGCUCUUUCUAGUUUCUUUUUGGUGGCAUUCAGAGCUAUGAGUUUUUCUUUUAGGACUGCUUUCAUUAUGUGUCAUAAGUUUGGGUAUGUUGUGGUUUCAUUUUCAUUAAACUCUCAAAAGUUUUUAAUUUCUUUCUUGACCAAGUUAUCAUUGAGUAAAGUAUUGUUCAGCUUCCACAUGAAUGUUGACUUUCUAUUAUUUACGUCAAUAAUGACGAUCAGCCUUAGUCCAUGGAGAUCUGAUAAGAUGCAUGGGAUAAUUUCAAUAUUUUUUAUCUAUUGAGGCCUGUUUUGUGACCGAUUAUAUGGUCAGUUUUGGAGAGGGUUCCAUGAGGUGCUCAGAAGAAGGUAUAUCCUUUUUUUUUUUAGGAUAAAAUGUUUAUAGAUAUCUGUUAAAUAUAUUUGUUUAAUAACUUCUGUUAGUUUCACUGUGUCUCUGUUUAGUUUCUGUUUUCAGGAUCUGUCCAUUGAUGAGAGUGGGGUAUUGAAGUCUCCCACUAUUAUUGUAUGUGGUUCAAUGUGUGCUUUUAGCUUACUAAAGUUUCUUUAAUGAAUGUGGAUGCCCUUGUAUUUGGAACAUAGAUAUUCAGAAUUGAGAUUUAUUGGAAGAUUUUAACUUUGACAAGUAUGAAGUGCCCCUCCUUGUCUUUUUUGAUAACUUUGGGUUGGAAGUCUAUUUUACUUG